GAGCCGGUAGCUCAGCUGGCAGAGCAACGGACUUUUAAUCCGUGGGUCGCGGGUUCAAAUCCCGCCCGGCUCA
rnacentral:tRNA from 1 species